rnacentral:tRNA from 1 species
AAGGGUAUUGCUCAGUGAUAGAGUGUAUGCUUACCAUGCAUGAGGUCCUGGGUUCAACCCCCAGUACCCCCU